UUGAUGACUCAUAUUAUGGAGCGUUCAAUCGAUGGCCAUUUUGAUUGUUCAUUGUUAUAUUCGUUACUGUUGAUAUAGUUGAUCAUGUUUGCAGAUGUGUCUUGUGUUCUGUUCUCGUAAUGAUUCUAAUUUUUAAUUCGGUCUCGUCAGAAUUGUAAGAUGUUGUGGUCAAUUAAUAUUAGGUAUAUUUAUAAUCUUCUUUUCUUAGUCCGGUGAUCGAAAUACACUCACUUGCUAGGGUUGAACCGGUUGCAUUGAGUUCCAUCAAGAAGUCGAAGAAAGAUCAAUUGAAAACAUUGCUGAACUGAACUCAUCAAUGCCUAAUCUUCGUCAUAAACUGUUGAGAAGGACCCUGCAGCUUCCAUCUAUCAUGGAAAGUAAAAAGGAUCAAUCACCCAUAUUCAUGUGGAAUCAUGCCAGAUUCAUCUCCAUUUUCACACCAACUAGACACACUAUUCAGGUAAUGGGAUUCUGAAUUUUAUUGAUACACAGCAGUUUACUGAGUGGAAUAAAACAAUAAAUGAUCAAAAUAAAGAAACAAAAAAAUAUUAUAAUAGGUACAUAUAGGUAAUAAAGACAGGGUCAUUGUAAAAUACAAACAUAUGUAUAAUAAUUAUAAUCGUCAACGUUUUCAUAAAAUAGCGUAAAUGAAAUUAAAGGGAACAAAGAAGUUCAAGGAUCCUUCCCACAGCAUUUUCCAAAACAACUGUCCUUUGCAUUUUGUAAUGUUACACCUGCUUUCCAAAUCAACGCCGCGAUAACUUUACCAAAUGCUGCUAUACUCUAAAAUGGUAUGCUGAUACAUUUACACCCAGCUAAAGCGAAACAUUUCCCCACAUCUUUGGAGCGGC